rnacentral:lncRNA from 1 species
AUGCGUGUGUACCAAAAAUGUCCAUUCAGUCUUACAACAAUCCAGUUCGAUUACACAUGAACUUAUCUACUUAACACAAAGCUAGACUAAUAAUGUAGCAUACUUAAGAAAAACAAUCCAAAAGGCAACAGAAUGGGAUAAAAGACAGUUGAAAUGAGGCUUUCAAAUCCUUUUCUCAUUUUUAUUCUUCAACUCCAAAAUUCACAAUCAAUAAAGCUUUACAGUGUGUACCUGAAAUAAGAUGGAAACCAAAAAGCCAAGCAGGGUCAGUUAGCUAGUAGCUUAGUAGCACAACAACAGGUUUGAGCAAAAAUCUAACUCAAAACAAGUGAGACACUAAUAGAACCCCGUGAACCAACUUUGAGAUAGUUUCCAAACCCAAAUCAACUUAUUUGGUUUUACCUCAAUGGAACCAGAAAAGCUUAAGAACUUGGAAAAAUUUCUAAAAUCCCAAACAAAAGAUCAAUAGAACAGUGAAACUUCAAACAAACUGAAUCCAAAGUAUUUCCAACACACGAUCAAACCAUUUUCACUCAAAAGGACUUGGAACCUGUUUGAUAAUCAAGAAAACAACUUAAAAUUCCGGGCAGAAUGCCAAUGGAAUAGUAUUGUUCCUAAAUUUUUAGUUGUCUGCUCUUGUUCUGAUUUUUUAGCCGUCUCUCCCUUUAGGAUUAGUUUUC